UACGAGGGGGGCAAGCGUUGUUCGGAAUUACUGGGCGUAAAGGGCUCGUAGGCGGCCAACUAAGUCAGACGUGAAAUCCCUCGGCUUAACCGGGGAACUGCGUCUGAUACUGGAUGGCUUGAGAUUGGGAGAGGGAUGCGGAAUUCCAGGUGUAGCGGUGAAAUGCGUAGAUAUCUGGAGGAACACCGGUGGCGAAGGCGACAUCCUGGACCAACACUGACGCUGAGGAGCGAAAGCCAGGGGAGCAAACGGG
rnacentral:rRNA from 1 species